rnacentral:rRNA from 1 species
GACGAACGCUGGCGGCGUGCUUAACACAUGCAAGUCGAACGAAGUGGAGAACGGGUGAGUAACGCGUAAUCAACCUGCCCUUCAGGGGGGGACAACAGUUGGAAACGACUGCUAAUACCGCAUACUGAAGGGGGGGAUUGAGUCGGAUUAGCUAGUUGGCGGGGUAACGGCCCACCAAGGCGAUGAUAAGUAGCCGGUCUGAGAGGAUGAACGGCCACAUUGGGACUGAGACACGGCCCAGACUCCUACGGGAGGCAGCAGUGGGGAAUCGUCCGCAAUGGACGAAAGUCUGACGGAGCAACGCCGCGUGAGUGAUGACGGCCUUCGGGUUGUAAAGCUCUGUUAAUCGGGACGCGGUACCGGAAUAGAAAGCCACGGCUAACUACGUGCCAGCAGCCGCGGUAAUUC